UUUUUUAAUCAUCUCCACAACGUUUUUGUUCUCCACCUUCAUCUUCGCCUCUUCUUUCCCUUCUGUGCUAAAUACAAUCUCAGCAGCAGGUGGAGAAACUGAAAAUUGAUAUGUUAUAACAGAGUGUUUCUUGAGGUAUUUGGACUGGAAAAAUUCAACAAUUUUCUCCAAGGCUUCUUCCUCCUCCUCUUCAUAUUUAUCAUCUGCUGCCAAUCUGUCUCUCACAGCACUCUCUAGCUGCACCCC
rnacentral:misc_RNA from 1 species